GAUGAACGCUGGCGGCAUGCCUAAUACAUGCAAGUCGAACGAGAGGAAGGAAAGCUUGCUUUUCUGAAUCUAGUGGCGAACGGGUGAGUAACACGUAGGUAACCUGCCCAUGUGCCCGGGAUAACUUCUGGAAACGGAUGCUAAAACCGGAUAGGUAGCAGACAAGCAUUUGACUGCUAUUAAAGUGGCUAAGGCCAUGAACAUGGAUGGACCUGCGGUGCAUUAGCUAGUUGGUGAGGUAACGGCCCACCAAGGCGACGAUGCAUAGCCGGCCUGAGAGGGUGGACGGCCACAUUGGGACUGAGACACGGCCCAAACUCCUACGGGAGGCAGCAGUAGGGAAUUUUCGUCAAUGGGGGGAACCCUGAACGAGCAAUGCCGCGUGAGUGAGGAAGGUCUUCGGAUCGUAAAGCUCUGUUGUAAGAGGAAAACGACAUUCAUAGGGAAUGAUGAGUGAGUGAUGGUAUCUUACCAGAAAGUCACGGCUAACUACGUGCCAGCCGCCGCGGUAAAAC
rnacentral:rRNA from 1 species